GGCAACGGGUGAGUAACACGUGGGUAAUCUGCCCUGCACUCUGGGAUAAGCUUGGGAAACUGGGUCUAAUACUGGAUAUGACCUUUCUCCUUAUGGGGUUUGGUGGAAAGUUUUUCGGUGUGGGAUGAGCCCGCGGCCUAUCAGCUUGUUGGUGGGGUGAUGGCCUACCAAGGCGACGACGGGUAGCCGGCCUGAGAGGGUGAUCGGCCACAUUGGGACUGAGAUACGGCCCAG
rnacentral:rRNA from 1 species